rnacentral:lncRNA from 1 species
GACCUCCCACCCACCAUACAGGGGAACACUCGGCAGAGCCAGAGGCCUGGGCCCAAGUCCUGCCACCAGCUGGCUGUGAAACUGUGGUACAGCACCUUGUGUCCUGCCACCAGCCGGCUGUGAAACUGGUACAGCACCUUGUCCUCAGGUCCUUGGUUUCCUCACUUGUAAAUUCAUGGUUCUCCAUGGCAUCUCUGGUCUUCAACAUUAUUUUGCAUAGAGUCUCAGAAGCUUUAGUGUGAGCGGAUGAUAUGGGCACGAAGCAAGGCACCCAGAAGUGGGGGCAACUACUCUGCUUUCUAAAAUGCAAGGGAACCGGAAAAUCCAGGAGCCGUGCCAAAUGAGAAGAGGAACAAAUGGAGGAACAUCCCAGUCAAGUGACAUUCCUAGUGACAUUCACCAGAACAGAGUCAAGCUUUGGAUCCCAUGUUCUGUGACUUCCUCUUCACCACGCUUCCUCCACACACGUAGCAGCUCAAGGGUUUCUGAUGAGUGGGAGGCUUGACUAGAAUUGAAUUCGAGACAAGCACAAAGAUCAUGAUGCAAAUGAAAGGGACAGAGGGGAGAGAAACAGAAAACAAGUGAGUCAAAUUUGGUCUAUGUUCCCUUUAUGAGCUGUAACGCACACCAUGAAGGUCUGCGGCUUGGCUAUUGAGUCAGUGAGAGCGUGAACCUACUAUUAGAAGAAAAACUCUGAAUACGUCUGAACGUCAGAAAGAACGAAGUUUGGACACAUUGUCUUUAAGAACUGUAACACUCACCCCAAGGGUUUAUGGAUUCAUUCUUGAAAUCAGUGAAACCAAAAGCUUUCCAAAGUUUAACACACAGGGAAAUGACUUACUGCAAAGAACCACUCUUCCCCACGAGACUUCGAGAAGACCCGCUGUCACGGACUGAGUUGUGUCCUCUUAAAAUUCAGAUGUUGGAGUCCAAACCCCCAGUAACUCAGAGUGUGAACGUAUUUGAAGAGGUCUUUAAAGAGGUGAUGAAGGGAGAGAGACCCCAUGAGCUCGUCAAGCUCCUUCUGUGACUGAUCAGAGAUCCCACCGUGAGUCCAGCUCCUGGUCCCAUGCUCUGGAUAUAUCGGUCCCUGGCAGCGUGGCUCCAUCUCCGUAGCCUGCUUUUGACAAAAGUGGAUACAUAAAUCUAGGGGCCACCUAGCUAGUUCUAAUAAGACUUUGGAAGUCAAAAGCUAAAGAAGACCAGGGGACCAAGCUGGAAAUCAGGCUCUGCAAUCAGAUUCCAGAGGGAAUGCCAUUCCACCCAAUCACCUAGCCACAACGGUUCCCUUCCUUCAAGAUGCUGCAUGCCUCUUCAGGCGAAUGGAUUACCUUGUAAGAGUGACCUGAAAAAGCGUUAGCCCAGCCACACCGAGGCUUAACUGAGCCAUUUGAUUCUCACUGCCUCUCUCUGUUGCUUCCUCUUGCUUUCAACUACAGGGUCUUUCUGUUUAGGUGGUGAAAAAAAUGAUCGUUAAAAACAAUAAACCUGGGGACCUCUGAUACCAUGAGCCCAGCCAGAGAUCUGUGUCAAGCAAAUCCUUGCAGACAGUUCUGCCAGCCUGCAGAUGGCUGUUUGCCUCUCGUGGAUUUGAUAAGUGCUCAUUUAUGCCCAGAGGCCUCUGGGAGAUAGUGCUCAUGCUGAGCUUACAAACUGAAAACCAUUAUCUGUUCCUUACCUGAGACCCUGGGGAGCAGUCAGCUCACUCCCUGCCGAUGGCCUAAGAUAGGUACUGAUGUUACAGUUGAGGAAUAUCUAGGAGUAACAAACUUAAGUAGCUGGAAUAUGCCAAUUUUGACAAUUUGACAACAUCAUUAUAAACAUUCUGAAGUACUUACAAGUCUUUUUUUUUUUUUUUUUUUUUUUUGGGAGACAGAGUCUUACUUACUCUGUCACAGACUAAAGUGCAGUGGCGUGAUCUCGGCUCACUACAACCUUUGCCUUCUAGAUUCAAGCGAUUUUCCUGCCUCAGCCUCCCGAGUAGCUGAGAUUACAGUCACACACUAAGGUGCCCGGCUAAUUUUUGUAUUUUCAGUGGAGAAGGGGUUUCACCACGUUGGUCAGGCUGGUCUGGAACUCCUGACCUCAGGUGAUCUGCCUGCCUCAGCCUCCCAAAGUGUUGGGAUUACAGGCAUGAGCCACCGUGCCUGGCCAUGCAAUACUUAGAGUCACAGAAGUUUAUGGUUAGAUAAUUCUCACAGAGGUGACCUGGUUCAGCUCUACCAUCAAGGUCAUUGAGACACUGGCACCUUGCCCAAGGUCAUGCCAACCUGGGAUUAGGCGUUUCCUGCCCGAUGCCCUUUCCCCACUUUCCACACCUAUUGUUCAUACUAAUUUAUUGCAGGUCUUAUUUCUACAGCCUCCUUUAAUUGCUUUAUGUUCACGGGACACUGUCUUCAGGAUAAGAUUGCAAGUAUUUUUUUAUAUUACUUCCUCUUGUCCCUGAUACUGUAGGGUUUCAAGCUGAAACCAGUCAAAAAGGACUUCAUGCUGAGUAACUUUUGCCCAGGCAGCAGGGCUGAGGAGCUGGGGACGAAGGAGAGACCCUGGCUGUAUUCUUUCUGAUAGGUGUUACACAUCAGGCUUGAGUUAAUUUGGUCAGGUUCAAUAAUGUGCUGCAGUUACUCUGUAAACACUUAGAAUCGUGGAGUGUCAGGUCUGGAAGGAGAUUUAAAGACAACCUGGUCUUAUGGUUCUCUAACUGUGCUCCAAGGAACCCUAGGGGCUCCUGUGUGUGGGGGUCGGGGUGUGCCUUCUGGUCAGCCUCUAAGAGCAGGUGGGCUGGAGAGCUGAGCUGACUUAGGCCUAAGCACUGGCCCCUUUUCUUGAAAUAUUUUAUUUAAUGGGGCUGUAUCAGAUUUCUUACAAACAAAGGGCUUGGAUGAUAGACCAUGGUCGACAGCUAUGAAUCUAGUCCAGCUCUUUCAUUUUCACUGUGAGCAAAUGAGGCUUGGAAUGAGGGAAGAGGGACUAGACCACUGCGUGCAGAGCUGCACACAUAGCUAGUGACAGGAGCCAGGAUGGAAACUCUUUGCAGAUGCCCCCUCGAUACCUUGCAGAGAUGGCCUGGUCCCUCUAAGAAGCUAUGUUUUUGGCUUGAUGGAGAGAUUGAACUACAGAAACCAACUCUCUAUGGUGGCUGCUCAUCUGGGAAAAGAAAGGGACAAAAUCUACACUUACUGAGUGACUACUGUGUCACAGGCAUGGAAAAUACAUUCACUCAUUCAGAGCAGGUGUGUGGAGCACCUCCUGCAUAGCAGAUGCUGCCCUGCCUGUCAUGGGUACUCUUUAAGCCUCACAAGCCUGCAGGGGAAGCUAUCACGUGCUCCAGAGCUGAAGGCUCUCAGGGUUAUGCAGCUGGCUCAUCAGUGGCAGACCCACAUCUGAACUGACACCCUUUGAACUCCAAAUCUGCUGUGCCACAUCACAUCCUAAUAUGCUUUUUUUUUUUUUUUUUUUUUUUUUUUGAGACGGAGUCUCGCUCUGUCGCCCAGGCUGGAGUGCAGUGGCGCGAUCUCGGCUCACUGCAAGCUCCGCCUCCCGGGUUCACGCCAUUCUCCUGCCUCAGCCUCCCGAGUAGCUGGGACUACAGGCGCCCGCUACCACGCCCGGCUAAUUUUUUUUGUAUUUUUAGUAGAGACGGGGUUUCACUGUGUUAGCCAGGAUGGUCUCGAUCUCCUGACCUCGUGAUCCGCCCGCCUCGGCCUCCCAAAGUGCUGGGAUUACAGGCGUGAGCCACCGCGCCCGGCCCCUAAUAUGCUUUUAAUUUUUUUUUAAAUGUCUCCAGAAGUCAGCGGGUGUCAACUGCAUACGAGCUUCCCAAAGACUCAAAACUCAGUUUAAAAAAAAAAUGUGAGUUUCCCUUUAUCUGUUCAGAAAAGAGCGUGGUGGGGGUGGGCGGCCCUCAGUGCCUGUUCUCCUGGGGAGAUGGUCUUCGGUAAGUGGAGCUCCCUUAGAGUCCUAAUCUGUCUCCUGAUUUGGGCUUUCACGAUUGACACACAUGCAGCUUUAGCCUUGUCUCCUGCUCACAGGGAAAAUUCUGCUCAUCUUGCUGCUCAGCUGCAGGGUGGUUCUGGGAGCAGCUGUCCCUCGGGGAGAUGGGUGAGGCCGUAUGAAUGCCAGCGAUGGAGAGAUAGCGAACUGUGUGGUGGAGGGAGAAACUGUUAACGUGCAGGAGGGCGCCGCCUUCAGUGGUGCAAGAAGUUUUCAACUGUCCUUGUCUUUCAAAAGACACUGUCUCAACAGAGUGUCAGCAACUUCUGAAGCCAUUUCAGGCUGUAUUUGUUAAUGACAUUUUAGAAUUCUUCCUGGGUGGGCUCUGCCCAGCUUCUGGUGGUUUAAAUAUUAGAAAUCAGACUGAUGUUGGUGCUGGGAGGAGAAGGAAUUAUGGAAAGACAACAUGAAGGGAAGUUCAGGAUUUGUGGCAAGUCUUGCCCAGGGAUUUGAGGCAAGCUGUGUAGGAUCUGGUUCAAUCGUUCUGUCUCAUACGGGGGAUAUGAUGGCUACCAUUCCUUGGAAUAUAUGCAUUUUCAGCAUUAGUACCCAGGAUUUUUUUUCCCCUGCUCUUAGAGUGUGUUGUUAAAAGUUAGUCGUAGUGAUGGUUUUAUUUUAAAAAUUCAAGGUUUUUUUUGUAGAGAUGAGGUCUCCUUAUGAUGCCCAGGCUGGUCUUGUCCUGGGCUCAAGCAGUCUUCCCACCUCAGCCUCCCAAAGUGCUGGAACUACAGGUGUGAGCCACUGCACCCAGCUUCGUUUUUAUGUUAUUAAUUGAAGAGUAUAUUUUCCCCCCACUAAAGUGGUAAUUUUCCAGACUACCUUUAAAGAAGAAUAAAACACCUUCCUCUUCCAGGCAGCUAAAUCUAAAUCUUGUAUUCUCUUUUAAAGCAACUCCUUAGCCAAAGACGUGGCAACUGCGGGUGAAGUAUCUCUGGGCAGGAAAUCAAUGCAGAAAUGCAACUGGGGAGAGGGGGCUUGGGGGCCAGUUCCAGGGAGAUUGGAACUGCUGUGUUCUCAUCAGCAGAAGUGGCCCCUGCCCACCCCCAUCCUAAUCCCUUCUCAUGUGGGAGAAGGUCUGUGAGCCCUCUCCCUACCAGGCAGGUUCUAUGGCAAUGUGGGCACAUACCCUGGGGCAGGGGCCGAGGGACUUAACUCACUUCAUGAGCGCCAAUGGAGGAGCGAAGGGAAUGCCUGAUGAAAACAACAUUCUACCAGUAUGCACUGUUUUCUAACCUACAGAGUGCCUCUGUGUUCACUGUCCCAUUUGAGAAUUCUAAGUAGAAUUCUGAACAGGCUGGAGCAGAUUGCCCACCCCAAGGGACAGAUGUUGGCUGGUACUGUUGGUAUUCAUGGAAGAUUCCUUCUGACACUCCCUCCUUCUUUGUAAUUGCCAUGAACUGGAGCACUGGGCCAAUAUAAAUCAUCCAAGGGUGAACACGCUGCACAUGGACGGCUCCUCUUUGUUUUUGAAGGGAUUCCAUCUCUAUUUUGCCAUGUGCUCCUUCACCCCACUCCCCACCCCCGUCUUUCAUUUCUUUCUCUGGAAAAGAUACUUCAACUCACAGGACUGCGAUGUUGAAACGGACACCCAAGAGCAUCACAGAUGGGCCAGGCCUGGACCUCUCGGGACAACAUUCCUCACGACUUUUAGAUAGAAGAGAUUAGAGAUUUGGGACUGGUGGCAACUGGUAACGUUUUCAGUGUUUGGUAAACAGCCAGGGUCCGGAGCUCUGGGAACAGCCUGAUUUAGCUCUUUGUUUAAGUUUUGUGUUAGAGGCUCCCAAGAAGCUGAUGCAGGGGAAAGAAAUUAACAACCAUGGCUCAUUCACAGCCAGGCAGCCAAAUGGACAGCUCUAUAAGACUCAAGCCGACAGCGGAGAGAGUGCAACCAAACAGCCUUGGCCCAGCUUUCAGAGGAGAACGUUAUUCACCCCAACUGCUCUGCAUCUGCCUGGAUGUCUGCCAAGAUCUGUGAGCAUUACAGCGUUGGUAUGCUUUGGGUGAGGCCUGUGGCUAUGGCAACAAGUUGGGAGCAACCCGGUCCCUGGGAAUGAGAACAGUGUCUAAAAUCAGGCAGGCGAGGGGCAGGGAGGAGAGGUAAAGGUUGGACUUGCCUGAAGAUGGAGCCGUUUUAUUGUUGUGGGUAAAGCUGCUACCAUUAGGGGCUGUUUACAGAGUGGGUGCAGCUCAAGCUGGGAGCAUGUUAGACUCAGCGACUACGAUCAACCUAUUGACUUGUUCCCAUGAGACAGAGUAAAUUAACUGUUGCAGUACUGGUCAUGUACCACCAACCUCCUGUGAACCAGCCCUCAGUGAAACAUUUAUGUGAAAGGCCAUGGUGUUCCCAUAAGAGGGUGCAUGUUCUCUCCCUUGACUAACUCUUCAGUAUGCCUCAUUCUCACGCGCUGGUGUGCAGGAAGGAGUCCAACAUGCCCCAUUGACAGUCAUGCCCUGUAUGUGGAAAGUCUUCAGGUAGAGCACUGGGCUCAGGUUUGAAGAUGUGAGUUCUAAUCCUAGCAAGGCCAUUACCUCCCAGUGACCUCAUGUCUCGAUUUCCUCAACCACAAAACAAAGGCAUUGGUGAGCUGACCUCUAAGGCCUCUCCAGUUCUCACCUUCUGUGUCUCUACAGACUGGAGACUAGAAGAUUAUGGGCACUUUUAUUGAGUCUUCAUUUUGUUUCCAUUUCUUUGUAGUCAUCAGCUGGAGUUGAGGACAAGUUUUAACAAUAGAUAGGUUUCUUUUUGUCUCUUUUUAAAAAAUUUUAUUUAAAAUAAAUGCCAAGUGUAGUGGCUCAUACCUGUAAUCCCAGCACUUUGGGGAGGCCAAGGUGGGAGGAUUGCUUUUGAGUUUGAGACCAGCCUGGGCAACGUGGUGAGACCCUGUUUGUACAAAAAAUUUUAAAUUAGCCAGGCAUGGUGGCGUGUGCCUAUAGUCCUAGCUACUCUGGAGGUAGAGGCAGGAGGAUCCCUUGAACCUGGGAGGUUGAGGCCACAGUGAGCUGUGAUUGUGCUAUUGAACUCUAGCCUGGGCAACAGAGCAAGACCCUGUCUCUUAAAAAAGACUAUUUUUUAAGAACACUUUUAGGUUCACAGCGAAAUUUGGAGGAAACUUGGCAUAUGUCAUAUGCCCCCUGCUCCCAUGCAUGCACAGCCUCUACCAUUAGCAAUGUCCCCACUCAAAUGGUACCUUUGUUGUAAUCAACAACCCUGUACUGACACAUCAUCAUCACCCAAACUCCAUAGUUCACAUUAGGUUUCACUCUUGGUGUGGUGUACAUUCCAUGGGCUUGAACAACUGUAUAAUGACAUUAUCCACCACUGCAGGAUCAUACAGAGUAGUCUCACUGCCCUAAAACUACUCUGUGCUCCACCUGUUUGUCCCUUCUUUCACUCUAAACUCCUGGCAACAACUGACCUUUUUACUGCCUCGAUAGCUUUGCCUUCUUCGGAAUGUCAUGUAGUUGAAAUCAUACAUCAUGAAGCCUUUUCAGAUUGGCUUCAUAUAGGUUUCCUUCCUUCCUUCCUCCCACCACCUUCCUUUCUUUCUGUAUUCCUAACUCUUGGAUGUAUUUUCCCCAGCAUCAUGACUUGAUGGGACUUUUGCUAAGAUAGGCAAUCAUAGAAAGUCAUAAAUCUCUUGUCAGCCUUAUUGGCUCACCUCCGAGAUGGUUCCAACACUCUUUAAGGCCCACUUUUCCAAUCCACAGAUUCCCCAGCAGAAGUCCAAGCUGCUGAGCCUCACAUCAUCUUUUGCACUAGUAAUCUUUACCACUACUUCACUGUAGCAUUUGAAAAUUUUCAUAUGAAGCCAUAGUUCUGUGUCUUUUUUUUUUUUUUUUUUUUUUUGGAGACGGAGUCUUAACCUGUUGCCCAGGCUGGAGUGCAGUGGCACAGUCUUAGCUCACUGCAAGCUCCGCCUCACGGGUUCAAGUGAUUCUUGCCUCAGCCUCCCAAGUAGCUGGGAUUACAGGCGCGCCACCAUGCCCAGCUAAAUUUGUUGGCAUUUUUAGUAGAGAUGGGGUUUCACCAUGUUGGCCAGGCUGGUCUCAAACUCCUUACCUCAGGUGAUCUGCCUGCCUCAGCCUCCCAAAGUGCUGGGAUUAAAGGUGUGAGCCACCGCACCUGGCCUGAAGCCAUAGUUCUUAACCUCAGUUGUGCAAUAGAAUUAUCUGGGGAAUUUAAAAAUUAGAAAAAACCCAUGCCCUGAAGAUUGUGAUCUAACUGGUCUUGCGUAGCGCCUGGGCAUUGGUAUUUUUUAAAUGUUUCCCAACUGAUACUAAUGUGGCCAUUCUGCAAGCCACAGUUGAAAGGCUUAUUCAAGCAUCCUGUUGCUGAAUGCAUGUCGUCCUUACCACAUGACUCUGGAGGUUUUCUUGUAUUCUGAUGUGGCUGCCCUGUUGAGGCCUGCCCCUUAGAGUGGAGAUUAUCCCCUGCAGUAGGCUGCCUGGAAUAUGAUCCCCAGUGAUCCCUGCUUCCUGGUAUUCAGGCCCUGGUGUGAUCCCUUUCCCUUGAAGCCUGGGCUGGAUUAGUGACUUGCUUCUAACCAACAGCAUAUGGCAAAAAUAAAUGUUUAUUGUUUUAAACCUCUGUUUUAGGGUCAUUUAUUACACAGCAAAGAUAACGAAUAUACUUUCUGAAAGAAGGGGAGGCUCUUUAGACAGGAACAUGUUCCUGUGGGAGCCACACCUUAUGUUGAUUUUGAAGAAUGGAGGGUCUAAUAAUGUGUCCCCAGGGGAAGUGAUAGGGGGGCCCAGACUGCUUGGGGCUGGAAAGGCAGGUGACAAAUAAGCAGAC